rnacentral:lncRNA from 1 species
GUUUCAGAGGCUUGUAAGACUUCCUCAUGACCAUCAUAACAGGCCUUGCUUUUGUCGUAUUUUGUGGCUGAAAAAGCAGCCUUGCUUCUUCAGAUAUUGUAGUUAUUUGGAUGUAUAAUAGUUUAGCAAGAUGUUACUUUUGUAAGACAUCAGAUGUUCAAAAAAAGUGCAUCCGAACUUGUACUAAAUACUGCAGUGUCCCUUUAUAAAAAGUCAGACUAAAACUGACAAUUGUACAGCAAAGCCUGACAUUUGGAUAUUUUGAAGUUUUUUCAUAAAUCAUAGAAAUUAGUAUAUGGCUGUAGUUUAGCUUUUUAGGUAAAAGGUAUGUUUCAUUAGUGCAUUUGUUACUGCUGAUCACUAUAAAAACGUGAGUCAGCUUUCCAUUUCUUAUGCAGGUCAUGAUAACUUGUAGAAUAGAGUACAAUCAUUUGUGCUAUGUUUUUAAUUUUCUAAAGCACCUUGAUGACAGUGAGUGUUCAGUGGUGAAGCAUCCUCUAUUGAAUCACCCUCAAAAAAUUUUUUUGCCAAGUCCUAAGUUGAUAGCUUAAAGUCAAAAGUAAAAUUACAGUUUAAGUAGGACUUGGUGUAAAGAAAUACCUUCUCCCCUUCCCCAAAGGGAUACUGCAGUUAUAUCACAUACCCAAUAGGCACCACGAUGAAGAUCAGAGCUUAUACCUAAUUAAGGUUUUAUACACACCAGUUCCCCAGUAAAUGCAAAUUUAACAAGAAAAUUAGACAUGUCAUAUGUUCAAAAUGCUCAUGGCAAACAAUCAUUUUGCAUUCCUGCAAAUAAAAUUGUUUUAUACUGUAAGCUGGAGGCGAGUGUAACUUAUUUUUGUAAUAAAGUUUUUAUUUUUUUUAUGUGUCAUUAAUAUAAAUGUGUGUUAGUAUAGAAAAUCUUCUGGUUUAAAAACUUAGAAUUGCACACAUUUCAGUAUGUUCAUUUGUACUUACAUAAUUCUAGAAUAGUGGUUGCCAAUAGCCUGUAUGUUUCCCAUUAAUUGGUUUUUUUUUUUUUUUGUUACUUAAUAAACCAUUUUAGUAUGUUGUAUGUCAGUUACUGGGAUAGCUGGGGCAUAGAGUGUAAUUUAAAAUUUGUCAAUAAGUAUUCAUUGGAAUAUAUGUAAAUGUGCCUUGCCGGUUACUGAAACUUACCUACAAAAUGAGUAUGGGGUGACAAAAAUUUGUUCCUGGUGCUUAAUGAAACUUUCUUCCACUGAUUUUAUAUAUUACCCUGUGCUUUUUAAAAGUACAUCUCUCAAAUGUAUUAGUGUAAGUUUGAGGGCUACAACACAAAACAUGUACAUUUCAUUCUAACAUAGUGAGUAUACUAGGUCGUGAAAAGUGGGUCAGUUAAUUGUAGCCUUCAGCAAAAUCAAAUCUCAGUGUAAUCCUUGGUGCUGGCACUUCCCAUGUCCAAGGAGUAAAAUGAUCCUAUAUAAGAGGUCAUUGCCAUGCCUAUUGGCACUUAACUGUCAUACCAUUUUUAACGGACACUGUCAAGGUCUUUUAUUUAAUUCAUGGAUUUAUUUGUUGGGAUGUUAGAACAGGUUUGUUUAACUUAACUGCAUUGUUAAAGUUGAAAGAUGAACACUUUUGUGAGUUCACAAAUGUGUUCUUUAAGAAUACAUUAAAAUAUGGAGCUCUGUGGGUUUCUAAGACUUGACUUUUUUUAGUUUGGGGAUAUGGGACGAAACCUUAUGAUUCAAAGGAAAUUGUGAAGAAUUGAUGGUUAUAUUUAUGGGGAAUGUAAACAGUGGUAAUGAAACGUAGACUCAAGUGAAUAUACUUGACAGUGUUCAUUUUAAUGACUUUGAAUUCAAGCCAUUAUAAUUACUUUUAAAAUUAAAUAUAAUUUGCACUGUUCUGAUAAUGGGUGCAGUUUUUGAGCAAUAUAAUCAGAGCUAAAUAUGCAUGUAGUGAUUAGUGAUGUGAACAAUUAAGUUCUGAGAAGAAAUACUAACCGUGGUAUUUUCAAACUUAAAUUUCUGUAGAAAAAUCAGUAUCAAACACUUACCAGAAGUCAAGAAAAACAGGCAAUGCAUAUAAACAUAAUUUUGAAUGUUGUGUGGCCUAUAAAGCAAUAAUGCAAUUUAUAUGGAAUGUCAUGGAUAUGAGAAAUGGAAAUGCGAAAAUAACUAAUCCUUUAGUAAAAAUGUCAACAUGUUAAAA